ensembl:lncRNA
CAGGAUAAAGCCUUUGGGGAAGAGAUUAUAAGAACGGGAAGAACUGGUUUGUCUCUCCACUCUGAGUUGGAGCAAGAGGGUGUGACAGUGAGAGGAGCAUUAGAGAGAAGAGACUUGGAGAAAAGUGAGUGAGACGUGUGUUGCACCUCUGCAGCUCACCCUCCUCAUUAUGGGAGUUGGUGGUACUUGACUCAUCUUCCCAUGCAACUGGAUGCUCCAAAGGGACCUGCCCUUGAAAUUUUGGGGUAUCUUCACGGCUUCAGAAUCAACUAGACAUCAGUCAGUUCAUUGCGUCUCACUCUCUUCUUCAUCGACGGGCCUUGUGAAUUAUUGGUAAAAUAGAUACAGGUGCACCUUUCAGGGGCUGGGCCAUGGAGGACCCCAAGACCCUCUCCCGGUCUCUGGAUUAUGGACUUACGAGCCUGACAAAGCAGUGGAGCAGAUACAGCGCCGUCAGGUGGUGGAACUGAAUGCGUGGCUGCUAAGGUAAGGAUGCUAAUUCAUGUGCGUGAGCAUGGGAGAGAGAGUCCCAGUCAAUGAGCACCGGUGACAGGACUUCAACCUCUGGAGCAUCUGCCUGGACUCUCUUGGCUCUCCCUUCCUCUGGAUGAAGGGCAUCUCCACGCAUUCCACCCUUGGGAACACCGCCAGCUUGACAAAUACUACUAUCAACAAUUUGAGAAAGACCAUGAAUGUUUCCACAAUAGUGUGAUCUGUCAGAUAACUGCUUUUUGUUCACAAUUCAUAGUGCACUUAUCAUUAUUAUAGAGCAUUUUAUUACUAGCCAGAUCAAUUAGAAGUUAACUAGAUUCAAAGAGUAUUACAUUUUUUAUCAUCCUCAUGAUGUAGCAAAGGAAAAAGGAAUACAAAGUAGUGAUGUGUCUUGCCCAGACUUUCAAACAAACAAGUGAAAAAGGGAUGGUGUUGGAUGAUGUUUGAGAUGCUGUUAGGUGGUUUAUGGCUGCACCUGUUACAUGAUUGUGGCCAGAGACGGGAGGAGGGUCACCGGUCUCCUCUGCCACAUGCUUGUACGUCUUUGCAGCAUGACUGCCUUCCUUCCUAAGGGCACUUGGACUGGUCUGUAGAUUUUGUUUUACUCUGUGGUUUCUUUCUUUUCACAAUAGACUAAGGUAAUUGAUAUUUCACUUUUGAAAAAAAGCACAUUCUACUGUGGUUGUAGCAACUUGUCUGGAAUACCCAGCCGCAAUGUUUUUAAUGUAAUUUUGUACUCACAGACUUGGCUAGAAGAAUUUCAGAGAUGCAUGCUUUAAAUAUGGGUUGUUGCUCUGAUUCAAGAAAGAAAGUUCUCAGCAAUUUAAAUACAAGGAAAGGUUCUAGCCGCGACUUGUGAUCAUCAUGAAGCCAUAGGUCUGGUUCACAAGUCUACAAUGCCAUUGCUGUCACUAAGACUCUUGUUUCAUGCCUAUUGUUGGUUUCCUUCCAGUGCCAUGAGCUGAGGUGGCAUUACCUUCACCGGCAGGUGUAAGAAGUGGGAAUUCCUGAGGAAGCUCCAAUCAGAUAAGGAGCAAUCAAAACAGCUAGUGAUGCCAGGUCACUCUGAGAGGGAACAGAGAAUGCUGCAGUUGUCUGGGACUAAAGCCACUUUAUUAUGAUUAAUAUGUGGAACCAUUUGAAGCUUUGAAAGUUACUGUAUACAUCAAGGAAAACAAACAUUUUUAUUAUUAAAUGCUUGCAGUGCAGUUUUAAAAACAUAGCUGGUCUUAUCUUGGCAAAUGAUGUUUUACAUACUUUCUUGUAGGUAUGCAAGAUCCAGAAGCUGCAGGAAGCUUUAUUAAAUAGUUAAAGCCACAGAAUGCCGAGAUAUGGAAAGCACUAGCCCUAAGCAAAACUGCAAAGGAGUGAAGCUCCUAUUCGGGCGUUACCACCUUUUUUUCUACAGUCCUUCCUUGCGGCCCUCUCUUGGUGCCCUGUAAAUCAGUGGUGUGGGGGAAAGAUCACUGAGCUUGGAGUUAGAAGAGUCAGCUUUGCAUCUUGCCACUCAAAAUAACAUUAGGCCUACCCUCACAGAACAUACACAACAAAAAGUAAAUCCUUGCAAAGUCAGUCAAAUGCUGUUUUAAAUGAGUUCAUGCAUUAACUCAUUUAAUCCUUAAAACCACUCAUGAUGUAGGUACUGUUGUUAUCCCCAAUUUACAGGUGGAGACACUGAGACACAGAGUGGAUAAAUAACGCGCCUGCGUUCACACAGCUCGUCACAGCUGGAGCUGGGAUACGGGUUCAGGCAGUCUUGCUCUAGAGCUGUGGCUCGCAGCACAGUGCUCUUUGGGUUCAAUGAAACAAAACACGUUAAAAUACUGAGCGCAUGAUGACAACUGUGCAGAGACCCUGAAGUGCCUACCUAACAGUCGCUCAACUUCUCUUCCUUAGAACAACUUCUCAUCUCAUAUGGGGAUUUAAAGUGCCCAAUUAAAAGACCACGUUUGCCAGCCACUGAGAAUAAAGAAAUGUCAGUGGAAACUGUGAGGUGGGAAGUCCUGGAAAACCUCGUGGGGGAGGGGCAGACAGGGGGCAUGUGUCAUUUAUGCAGGUCACGCCUUCCUUUCUGCUUCCUUCCUGGAUAAAUUGUUGGACCUCCAGCUGUCGCCUGGCCCCACAAAGAAGCCAUGAGGAUGUAAGCCACCUGCUGUGGCUGGGAAACAGAGAGGCAGGACGCGGGACCUCGACGACAAAUAGAGCUGCCACCCUACUGCAGGUGCUUUACCUGGAUGAUCUUUGUUAAAUGCACAGAAAUGAAUUUCUACCUUCUUGAGGCUACUUGUUUCUGGUCUCUCACCAGCAGCUGACAUCAGGAGCUGAUUAAGAACUCAAUCCAUUUUUUAAAAUUUUAGAUCAAUAGAAAGAGAUUUGUUUCCAUGUACUCAGGGCUAACCACUGUGAGGAGGGUGGGCGAGAACUCCCACGGAAUAUUAUACAUGGUUCUGCUGCUCAAGGAGUUUCCGCUUUGCUGUGGAGCAAUCAAGAUGAACUCUGGCACAGCAGGGGGCUUCAAGAUCUGCUCCAACACUCUGGAGAUGCUCUUUCUGAUGGUUCACAGUUUUUUCAAAGUACUUUGGAGGCAAAAGCCCACAUGAUGUGUCGUAAGAGCUGAUGAGAUGGCUUUUCUCUUUCUAUCUCCAAACAAAAGGCUCGACCAAGAUGGCACAAAAGGAAGAGGAAGCCAGCAGAUGGGGAGGUCAGAACAGGAAGACUGCAAUACUCUGAAACGAAUGCCAGAUGUGGGUAAAUGGAUAUCAGAAAAAUAAAACAAGAAAGAGGAAAACUUGUUGCUUCCCAUUGUGUGUUUAUACAAAAUCCACUAUACACACACGUAUUUUUAAGGAAUAUGUGGCUCAGCCUACACAAACACAGGAUUUUGUAGAGUUCACAGCAUCACCAAGUUGCUGAAGAAACAGAUUAGGCUGAAGCUUCCAGGACAUUUCCUGAACUACUCUGCACAACCAGCCCAGACAGCAGCCACCACCAACUGAUGAAGAUCAAGGCUGCCCCUGCCCCAGGGAGAGAAGUCCAAGGUCCAAGGCGUCCUGCCCUACAUACUGAUCUAUAUCAUCCUACGGGAAGCAUAGGGCGUCCUGACUUAAUCCAAUCUGAUUCUUAUCUAAAGUUAUAGGACCACCCAGUAACCAGACCCCACCCACACUGAUACCAUUUUAACGAUUUUGAUUUUUUUCAUGAUCUUUCCUUUGUCUUGUAAAUAAAUAACUCACAUACCUAUGCCUUAUCAAUUUAGCUCUAACUAUCAAC